rnacentral:rRNA from 1 species
CGGCAACAGCUCAAAUUUGAAAUCUGGCCCUCUCAGGGUCCGAGUUGUAAUUUGCAGAGGGCGCUUUGGCGUCGGUAGCGGUCUAAGUUCCUUGGAACAGGACGUCACAGAGGGUGAGAAUCCCGUACGUGGUCGACUACCUUCGCCGUGUAAAGCCCCUUCGAC